rnacentral:snRNA from 1 species
UCUCUUAAGGUAGCCAAA